ensembl:snoRNA SNORD116 Small nucleolar RNA SNORD116
UGAUUGAUGAUGACUCCCUCAUAUGCAUUCCUUGGAAAAUCUGAACAAAAUGACAGAGAACUCACUACAAUUAAGAAAAAAAACA